AAGCUAAUACCGGAUAACAUGUUGAACCGCAUGGUUCAACAGUGAAAGACGGUCUUGCUGUCACUUAUAGAUGGAUCCGCGCCGCAUUAGCUAGUUGGUAAGGUAACGGCUUACCAAGGCAACGAUGCGUAGCCGACCUGAGAGGGUGAUCGGCCACACUGGAACUGAGACACGGUCCAG
rnacentral:rRNA from 1 species